rnacentral:rRNA from 1 species
UACGAAGGGGGCGAGCGUUGUUCGGAAUUACUGGGCGUAAAGGGCGCGCAGGCGGCCAUUCAAGUCAGGCGUGAAAGCCCCGGGCUUAACCUGGGAGGUGCGUCUGGGACUGGGUGGCUAGAGAUCGGGAGAGGAGAGUGGAAUUCCCAGUGUAGAGGUGAAAUUCGUAGAUAUUGGGAAGAACACCGGUGGCGAAGGCGGCUCUCUGGACCGAGACUGACGCUGAGGCGCGAAAGCGUGGGGAGCAAACAGGAUUAGAUACCCCCGUAGUCC